CCCAUCCUUGUCAGCAAAAUUCCUGACAUAUGCCUGAGAUUUACCAAAUCGCCAGUUAAUAUUAAGGGAUUAGAAACUCAAGGGACACAGGAAAAAUAGGCAACAAAGUGCUAAUAUUUAAAAUCGUAAUGAAAAAAUAAAUAAUACUACCAAAUUUGUUUCAAUGACUUUUUCUAAGUGUCUACAGAGCAUGUGUUUUCUAGGGUUCAUUAGGUUUGGAGUCAAGUACCAUGCUUCUUCUUUUUUUUUUGAGGGGGACGUUUUUGUUAAAUUUCCUCAAUAAUGUUAUAAUUAUACGAACAAACAAAAAUUAAGCCUUAAUUUCAAACUAGUUGAGAUCAGCUAUAUAAAUUUUUUUUUCUACCAUUCAGCUUUAUUAGAGAACAAGUCCGUUAGUUGUAUGAUAAAUACAAUAAAAGAACACCUAGGCAACUGGUAGCAAACUUUUGUUUAGGAAAACAUGUGGCAUCUGAACCAAGCUACUAGAGAUUCAUCAUGUGAAAUGCAGACAUAAAUCAUCCACAGGUACCAUUUUAUUUACUUGUUACUAGUGCAAACUGCAAAGUCACAUCAAUGUUCUUGAUAAAAAAUAAGGCAAGAAAGAGGAAAGACAAAGUGAAACAAGAAAAAAGGGGGAACAAUUUUCAUAUGUCUAUCUAGACCAUGUGGAAACCUUUGGUAAAAUGGACCACAUAAAAACAUGACAAGGGUCUUUCAUGGUAUCUUCAACUGUUUCAGCAGUCCCCACGAAACUUCCACACUAUUUAAGUGAAAGGAUGAAUGGACCCUGAAACUGACACCAUUCUUUUCUGACAACUAAUUUGAGUACUGAGGAAGGGAAAGAAAGAAAAGAAGAAGCCAUAAGUUGUUAUGUGGUCACAGACCAAAAUGACAGGUUCCAGAAUUUAUUAGAAAUACAAGCAACUCCAAAAAAUCUAAAAACCAGAAAAUGGUUUUUUUUAUCUACCUACACAUAUGAUAAACAGAAGUAAUUAUGUGAAUUUGGUGAGGCAAGAAUUAC
rnacentral:misc_RNA from 1 species